GGGGAAUCUUCCGCAAUGGGCGAAAGCCUGACGGAGCAAUACCGCGUGAGGGAGGAAGGCUUUUGGGUUGUAAACCUCAAAACUUAGGGAAGAAAAAAAUGACGGUACCUAAUCUAAGCAUCGGCUAACUCCGUGCCAGCAGCCGCGGUAAUACGGAGGAUGCAAGCGUUAUCCGGAAUUAUUGGGCGUAAAGAGUCCGUAGGUGGCAAUUCAAGUCUGCCGUCAAAGACUAGAGCUUAACUCUGGAAAGGCGGUGGAAACUGAAGAGCUAGGGUUCGGGAGGGGUAGAGGGAAUUCCCAGUGUAGCGGUGAAAUGCGUAGAGAUUGGGAAGAACACCAGUGGCGAAGGCGCUCUACUGGACCGAAACUGACACUGAGGGACGAAAGCUAAGGGAGCGAAAGGGAUUAGAUACCCCUGUAGUC
rnacentral:rRNA from 1 species